GAUGAACGCUGGCGGCGUGCCUAAUACAUGCAAGUCGAGCGAACGGACGAGAAGCUUUCUUCUCUGAUUUUAUCGGCGGACGGGUGAUUAACACGUGGAUAACCUACCUAUAAGACUGGGAUACCUUCGGGAAACCGUAUCUAAUACCGGAUGAUAUUUUGAACCUCAUUGUUCAAAAGUUAAAGACGGUCUUUCUGUCACUUAUAGAUUGAUCCGCGCUGCAUUAGCUAGUUGGUAAGGUAACGGCUUACCAAGGCAACGAUGCAUAGCCGACCUGAGCGGGUGAUCGGACACACUGGAACUGAGAAACGGUACAGACUCCGACGGGAGGCAGCAGUAGGGAAUCUUCCGCAAUGGGCGAAAGCCUGACGGAGCAAAGCCGCGUGAGUGAUGAAGGUCUUCGGAUCGUAAAACUCUGUUAUUAGGGAAGAACAUAUGUGUAAGUAACUGUGAACAUAUUGACGGUACCUAAUCAGAAAGCCACGGCUAACUACGUG
rnacentral:rRNA from 1 species